GGGAGAAUCUAGAUAGGAAGCCCUCAGAGACUUUGUUCUGAGGCGACUCAAAGGAGUAUAGGUGAGGCUGAGUAAAGAAGACAGACUUGCAGAAAGGAAGGGCUGGGCUUAAUUGGAGACUGGACAAUUAUGUGUUUGUUUUGGAUUUUGAUAUCCCAGCAGAGGUGGACUUAAAAAAAAAAAAAGACUUAGCUGGAAGGCCAAGUUACUACAGUGAUCAAAUUAGGCUGGAGGGUCAGGAGAUCUAACCUGAAUGAGGAGAAACGGAGGCAAUGGCUAGCCCAAAGCCAUAAUGGGGUAUCCUAGAGACCAGGCUGGAGGGCCAAGUCAUACAGAAGAAGUGGGAGCCAAAGGGGCUGCAGGGUGAAAGAAGAUGAUAGAUGAAGACUGCCAGAGGAGGGUGCAGCCCCUUGAAGGAGCUAAGGCCUAGAGUGGCCAGGAAGAAGUACCCACAGUGAAAAACAGUUACCACCAUCCUUAACAGCACUUAGGAGACUGUCAAACAAGGGAGCUUUCUCUUCUACAACUCUCUCCAGCUAACGGGAACAAAAAAUGCUGUUAAAAUGAAAACUGUACUUAGUACUUCAGAUACUUUAACUGUUGUUUUUCCUCUUUCUGUAUCUUUUAAUAAAAGUUGAAAAGACUUUUAA